GGACCACAUUCUACCACAUGAGAAACCAAUGACCACAUUCUACCACAUGAGAAACCAAGGACCACAUGAGAAACCAAUGACCACAUUCUACCACAUGAGAAACCAAUGGCCACAUUCUACCACAUGAGAAACCAAUGACCACAUUCUACCACAUUCUACCACAUGAGAAACCAAUGACCACAUGAGAAACCAAUGACCACAUUCUACCACAUGAGAAACCAAUGACCACAUCCUACCACCUGGGGGCAGUGUUGUUCAUGUGUUCAUGACCUUGACCAGAGAACGAGAGGGCAAUGGAACAUGUCGGAGUUUCUCACUCUCUCACUUUACUCUUUGUUUCUUCUCUUUGGGUCAGUCACAGUGGUCAGGUAUUCUGCCACUGUGUACUCUCUGUUUAGGGACAAAUAGCAUUCUAGUUUGCUAAUUUUCUUGUUGUUAAUUUUUUCCAAUGUUUCAAGUAAUGAUCUUUUUGUUUUCUCAUGAUUUGGUUGGGUCUAAUUGUGCUGCUGUCCUGGGGCUCUGUGGGGUUUGUUUGUGUUUGUGAACAGAGCCCCCGGACCAGCUUGCUGAGGGGACUCUUCUCCAGGUUCAUCUCUCUGUAGGUGAGGGCUUUGUGGUGGAAUGUGUGGGUAUCUCUUUUAGGUGGUUGUAGAAUUUAACAGCUCUUUUCUGGAUUUUGAUAACUAGUGUGAAUAUUCCUAAUUCUGCUCUGUAUGCAUUAUCUGGGGUUUUGCAUUGCACACUAAGUAUAUAUUUUUGCAGAGUUCUGCAUGCAGAGUCUCAAUUUGGUGAAUUCUUGGUUGUUGAGCGGACCUCAAACCUCACGACCGUAAAGGGCAAUGGGCUCUAUGACCGAUUCAAGGAUAUUUAGCCAGUUUUUUAUUUAAAUUGGUAUUUUGAGUUUCUGUUCCUUUUGAUGGCGUAGAAUGCCCUUCUUACCUUGUCUCUCAGAUCGUUAACAGCUUUGUGGAAGUUACCUGUGGCGCUGAUGUUUUGGCCGAGGUACGUGUCGUUUUUGUGUGCUCUAGGGCAACGGUUUGUCGAUUGAAUUUGUAUUUGUUCUCCUGGCAACUGGACCUUUUUUGGAACACCAUUGUUUUUGUCUUACUGAUCUUUACUGUCAGGGCCCAGGUCUGUCAGGGCCCAGGUCUGUCAGGGCUCAGGUCUGUCAGGGCUCAGGUCUGUCAGGGCCCAGGUCUGUCAGGGCCCAGGUCUGUCAGGGCCCAGGUCUGUCAGGGCUCAGGUCUGUCAGGGCCCAGGUCUGUCAGGGCCCAGGUCUGUCAGGGCCCAGGUCUGUCAGGGCCCAGGUCUGUCAGGGCCCAGGUCUGUCAGGGCUCAGGUCUGUCAGGGCCCAGAUCUGUCAGGGCUCAGGUCUGUCAGGGCCCAGGUCUGUCAGGGCUCAGGUCUGUCAGGGCCCAGGUCUGUCAGGGCUCAGGUCUGUCAGGGCCCAGGUCUGUCAGGGCCCAGGUCUUUCAGGGCUCAGGUCUGUCAGGGCCCAGGUCUGUCAUUGCUCAGGUCUGUCAGGGCCCAGGUCUGUCAGGGCCCAGGUCUUUCAGGGCUCAGGUCUGUCAGGGCCCAGGUCUAUCAGGGCCCAGGUCUGUCAGGGCCCAGGUCUGUCAGGGCCAGGUCUGUCAGGGCCCAGGUCUGUCAGGGCCCAGGUCUGUCAGGGCCCAGGUCUGUCAUUGCUCAGGUCUGUCAGGGCCCAGGUCUGUCAGGGCCCAGGUCUGAAUCUGUGCAGAAGCUCCAGAUCAUCAGCAAAGACAUUUGACUUCAGAUUCUAGUAGGGUGAGGCCGGGUGCUGCAGACUAUUCUAGAACACUCGUCAAUUCAUUGAACAAGGUGGGGAUCAAGCUGCAUCCCCCUCCCUCCCUCUUUCUUUCUUUCUUUCUUUCUUUCUCUCCUCAUCUCUCUUUCUCUCCUCACCUCUCUCUUUCUCUCCUCACCUCUCUCUUUCUCUCCUCACCUCUCUCUGUCCCUAUCCCUCUCUCUUUCUCUCCUCACCUCUCUUUCUCUCCCCACCUCUCUCAGUCUCUUUUCACCUCUAUUUCUAUCCUCACCUCUCUUUCUCUCAUCACCUCUCUGUCUCUCCUCACCUUUCUUUCUCUCCUCACCUUUCUUUCUUUCCUCACCUUUCUUUCUCUCCUCACCUCUCUUUCUCUCAUCACCUCUCUGUCUCUCCUCACCUUUCUUUCUCUCCUCACCUUUCUUUCUCUCCUCAACUUUCUUUCUCUACUCACCUCUCUCUUUCUCUCCUCACCUCUCUUUCUCUCAUCACCUAUCUUUCUCUCCUCACCUCUCUCUUUCUCUCCCCACCUCUCUCUUUCUCUCCUCACCUCUCUUUCUCUCAUCACCUCUCUUUCUCUCCUCACCUCUCUUUCUCUCCUCACCUCUCUCUCUCUCCUC
ensembl:lncRNA